rnacentral:rRNA from 1 species
UACGAAGGGGGCUAGCGUUGCUCGGAAUUACUGGGCGUAAAGCGCACGUAGGCGGAUUGUUAAGUCGGGGGUGAAAUCCUGGAGCUCAACUCCAGAACUGCCUUCGAUACUGGCGAUCUCGAGUUCGGGAGAGGUGAGUGGAACUGCGAGUGUAGAGGUGAAAUUCGUAGAUAUUCGCAAGAACACCAGUGGCGAAGGCGGCUCACUGGCCCGAUACUGACGCUGAGGUGCGAAAGCGUGGGGAGCGAACGGG